CCACCCUGCUAUUUUAUCCUACACCACACCAAUACCUCACAUCACCCCUCCUUGUUGAGUGCCUUUCCUCCGCGACCCAGCAGCACCCUGCUCCUCAACACCCAAGUCAGCCACCAUCUCUCACCACAACAGUACUAAACACCAAAUCGAACACACACAACAACUCCAAGCUACACUCCUCGCUGCUCAUCCACAACGUACUAACCAACACCAACACCUGCAACCCGUAACUCCUCCCCUACACCAAUUCUCACCACCAACAACACAAUAAAAAACCCAAAAUAACAAUCAAAAUCAAGCCAAGAACAGAGAAAAACAGGGCACAUUGGUUCGUUCGAACCAUAAAUUGGUUCUGCCGAACCCGAAAUUUAGAAAAGUUUCUGCAAGUCUGAGAUCCGGCCGAACAUUCCUUGAGUUCGCCCAAACUAGAAACGGGUUCGCCUGAACCUAUAUUUAGUUCGAUCGAACUUUUGAGCGCGAAUGGUUGUACGGAUUAAUGAAAACUCGUGGUUGUCACGUGGUUGUUGCCUUUAUGGUUGUUGCUAGCCCUGAACAUUGCCACCGUACGGUUCGAAUUUGAAGGUUGCGAUUGGUUUGAUUGACGAUUAUUGGGCAACGAUUUGGGCCAUUGGACGAUUAUGAUUGCUGAUGAUGUUGAUCGAUGAUUGAUGAAGGUGGUGAUGGACCGUUGAUGAUGGACGAUUGAAUUCGACGGUGAUGGGUUGAGGAGGGACGAUGAUUGAUGGUGGAUGAUGGGUGAUGAACGACGGAGGUUGGGAUGAAAGAGGAGCGAAAGGGACAAAGAAGGAGAUGGGAGGCAGCGAACGAAAAGGAAGGACAGGGGGGUUCUGAUUAGUUUUGUUUUGAUUUAUUUUUAUUUUUAUUUUAUUUUUCUUUCUUUUCUAUUGCCCUUCUUAUCUUUUCUCUUUCUUGUUUUAAUUUACUUUUCCUAAUUUCUUUUCUCUCCCUUCUGAUUUCCUUUUCAUUUUUUGUUUUGUUUCCAUUUUUUUUCCUCUUUAUUUCAUUUCAUUUCCUUUUUAUUUUAUUUCAUUCCUUUUUCUUUUUUUUUCUUCUUUUAUUUCUUUUCUUUUAACUUGUAGUAUAAAUACCCAAUAUUUGGGUCAUGACAAGGUAUGUAAAUAAUUUAGUUUAGCUCUCUCAUUAUUAGGGUUCUUCAUUAGUUUAGUUAAGAGAGAGAAAGUGAGGAAAAAUCAAUGAAAAUGGAGGAUUAUGGAUAAUACAAGAAGAUUUAAAGCAUUCCUUCAUCAAUCAAUGAGAAUUCUCUACUCUCUCUCCUUAUUUAUUGCUUAUUUAUUACUUUAUUUAUCGUUUUAAUUAGUUUAAUUGUUUUUGUUUAGUUUAAUGAUUCAUGUUUAGAUUAGUUGUUAUUAUUGUUGUUUAGAAUCAUGUUUUUAGUUGUUAAUUUCUAUAAAUUUUGUGUUUUUAUGAUUAUGGAGUAGUUUAUUGAUUAGGGUAUGGUGAAAACUCAACAUUGAUUGGUUUGGGUGUUCGUGAUUGGAAAUUAAGGAAUUUCAUGAUUAAAUUAUUACAUGUUUAGGCAUUUCCAAUACAUGUUGCAUUUAACUUGAUCAAUUAAGUGUUCCAUGAUUGCUUGGAGUAGUUUAGUUGGGUUGGAAAGGGAUUAAGACCUAAACUUGACUAUGUGGUUGAAUUGGGAUUUUGAUUUACCCCGGGUAUGAUAGGGUAGAACGGGAGUUCUUCCUUGAUGCUUAAGGAAAUUGUUCGCGCAUCGGGAGAUGGUUGGAACUAUUUGUGAAUUCAAUGCUUAUCAUGUAGUGCUUGUGAAUCUUCCCCGUUUUCAAUUCUUUUAUGUCCAUCCCGUGAUUUGUUGUUGUUUGACCCAUUCCCUAAUCUCGUUUACUUUUGAUUUUUUAGUUUAAUUUAAUUAGUUUUAUUCGAUUAGUGAUUUUCCAAAACCCCAUUCCGACCUAGCUUAUCGAUUGAUUAGCAUAAACUAGCGCACCUUAGUCCUUGUGGAUUCUGACCCUUGCUUACCGCUUUACUUGUGUUUAGUGGUUAGUUUAUGUAAUUUGUUUGAUUAGGAGAGACUAGUAACGACCUAGUUUUCCCCUCGAUCAACUUUGGUACAACAUUGAAAAUGACUACAACGUUCCAUCCAGCCACAGAUGGAUAAACUGAGAGAACCAUUCAGACACUUGAGAAUAUGCUUCGUGCAUGUGUAAUUGAUUUCCAAGGAAGUUGGGAAGAUAACUUAGAUUUGAUUGAGUUUUCAUAUAACAAUAGCUAUCAUGCCAGAAUAGGAAUUGCACCAUUUGAGGCCUUGUAUGAAAGGAAAUGUAGAAGUCCACUAUGUUGGAGCGACAUUAGUGAGACAGUUGUGUUAGGACCUCAAAUGAUAGAGGACACCAUGAACCAAAUUAGGACUAUUCAAUCCAAAAUUCAAGCAGCGCAAGAUCGCCAAAGGAGCUACGCGGACUUGAAACGUAGGGAUGAAGAAUUCCAAGUGGGUGACAAGGUGUUACUCAAAGUUUCACCAAUGAAAGGUGUGAUAAGAUUUGGAAAGAAGGGAAAGUUAAGCCCAAAGUACAUAGGUCCUUAUGAGAUCCUAGAACGAAUAGGAAAGGUAGAUUAUAGACUAGCCUUACCUAUGGACUUGCAUAUAGUGCAUAAUGUGUUCCACAACUCUCAAUUGAGGAAGUAUGUCCCGGAUAAGUCGCAUGUGUUGCAACCGAAAAUCAUUGAAAUAGACCAAAGUUUCUCUUUUGAGGAAAGACCAGUCAAAAUCAUAGAUAGUAAAGUUCGUAGUACACGAACCAAGGAUGUUAAGAUUAGGUGUUAUGGUCUAACCAAGAAUCGGAGGAAGCAACCUGAGAAGUCAAGGACGAAAUGAAAAAGAAAUAUCCAGAGAUGUUUCCCGAGUUUAAUUGAGUUAUGGGGUCGUAACUCGUGUCUUUUAAGGGGGUAGAGUGCGGUGGAAUUUCGCGCUUUAUACCUUAUUUCCUCUUAUUUUAUGCCUGAUAGUGCUUUUUGUUAAAUUUGCACCCCAAGUUAUCAUGUAUAAUCAUUUAAAGAGUACAACAACUUAUUAUUUUUGGUAAUAAGUAAUCAAUAAAGUCUCAAGUUUUGAGCUUCAAGUUUGAGUUAUCUUGCCCAAGUUUUGGGAUGAAACUUCUUUUAAGGAGGGUAGAUUCUCGCAUUUUUGAAGUAAAUAUAAAUAUAUUUUAUUAUAUUUAUUAAGAAUUUUUGGAUUUUGUGAAUUUAAUCGCAUUUAAAUAAGCUAUUUAAAUGUAUUUAAUUAAUUAAAAUAAUUUAUUAUUUUAAUUAAUUAUAAAGAAAAUUUAGUUUUCAAGUUGAGUAUUUAUUUGGGUUUUGAAAUUAAAACGAUUUGAAGAAUUCAAGAAGCAUAUUAAAACUCAACUCAAAGCACAAUCCAAAAGCCCAACUCAAAUUGUAGGAAAUUCCAAGGAAACUUCCUCAAACUCAAGGACACCUCACCCAAGAUUAAGGAAACCCAACUUUGGUUAAAUGAAACUUCUAGAAAUUUCCUUAACCCCAAUCCUCAUAGAUUCUCACUCUAUAAAUACGAAACCCCUCAUUUUCCCACACAUUUUGAGAACUCUUUCUCUCUCUUCUACUUUCUUUCUUCCCUUCCAAGUUUUCUUCCUUUAUUUAUCUCUCUUUUUCUUUUGGUCUUGUGUGCGUGCCCAGCUCGAGCUACGCUUAGCUCUUCGACGCUGCGUGCCUCGCCGUGUGCGUGUGUUUCCCGUCCCCGCGCAUAACACUCUCUUCCCCGCGCUAAGCGCUGCGCAUAACCUUCCCCUCGUGCGCCCUGCUGUUGCCGCAAGCAAGCCGAAGCUUGCUGCCUUGCUCGUGCACUCCAUCAUUCGUAUUUCUUUCCAAUUUGCGCCCGAUUACCUCAAAAUAGGAAUCCCAUACCGUACUAUAGGUCGAUUUGGUAUAUUUCUCUUCUUCCUAACCUUCUCUAGUUUAAAGCUUGAAUCUUUAUUAUGUUUUGAUGAUGUAUUGUGUUUAUUAUUGUUGGGAUUGGUUAUGAACACCAAAGUUGAGGAUUUUGAUGAUUAAAAUGUUGAGGAUUAUUUUUUUUUAAAGAGUAGUAAUUUUCAUAUUUGUUUUUGAGAUAAAGUUUCAAUCUUUAUGGAUUUUUAAUGAAUUUAAUGAUGAUUUAAAGUUAGGGUUUUCCCCUAAACCUUAUGGCUAAUUGAUUAACUUAAUUAGAUGACAAUUUUAUUUAUGGUAAUUAAUUAUAAUUUUCAGAUUUGUUUUGAGACAUAAAGUGUCAAUUUUUAAUGGUUUUGAGCAUGAAAUUAGUCAAAGUUCAUGCUAAGGUUUUAAGGGAUUAAUUGGAACUAUUAUUUUAUCAAUUAACGAUUAAUUUUUAAUUAAUUCAAGUGUUUUAAAACUUAAUAAAGUUGCUGGAAAGUUAAUGAACAUGGAUAAUAAUUAAGUUUCAUCAUCUUAAUGAUAGGAGGAGAUUUCUAGAGUAGUAGCUUGAAUCGCAAAGUGGCCCCCGUUCUUAGAACUUCAAGGUUUCGCUGAUUACGUGCUUUGUGUUUGGUCAUGGCCUAUGCCUUAAUGACCCUAUGAUGAUCCUUCAAUUGUAUUCGCAUUGUCUGGGAGUAGAAAUUUGAUAACAGGUUGGUAGAGAUGACUUGCAAGAGAAGUUAUCUUGCAUGGGGCUGGUUGAGCGAGUUUCUUUUUCUCUUGCACAGUUUCAAACUCUAUUUAUUUUCAUUUGCCUAGACUAUAAUGUUUUAAUUAGUUAUUGGAUUUGGUUUUAUGGUAUUUGGUUUGGGCCGUGAUGGUUCCAACUUUUAUGGAGACCGUUAAAUAUCUUUUAUUGUUUUCAAAGUUUGGAAUGAAACAUGUUAGUAUAGGAUUUCAUUCUAACUUGUUUGUACUCAGGUUUCGCUAAUUACGUGCUUUGUGUUUGGUCAUGGCCUAUGCCUUAAUGACCGUAUGAUGAUCCUUUAAUUGUAUUCGCAUUGUCUGGGAGUAGAAAUUUGAUAACAGGUUGGUAGAGAUGACUUACAAGAGAAGUAAUCUUGCAUGGGGCUGGUUGAGCGAGUUUCUUUUUCUCUUGCACCGUUUCAAACUCUAUUUAUUUGCAUUUGCCUAUACUAUAAUGUUUUAAUUAGUUAUUGGAUUUGGUUUUACGAUAUUUGGUUUGGGCCGUGAUGGUUCCAACUUGUAUGGAGACCGUUAAAUAUCUUUUAUUGUUUUCAAAGUUUAUUUA